rnacentral:rRNA from 1 species
GGGUUGUGAGGUUAAGCGACUAAGCGUACACGGUGGAUGCCCUGGCAGUCAGAGGCGAUGAAGGACGUGCUAAUCUGCGAAAAGCGUCGGUAAGGUGAUAUGAACCGUUACAGCCGGCGAUGUCCGAAUGGGGAAACCCAGUGCAAUUCGUUGCACUAUCGUUAACUGAAUACAUAGGUUAACGAGGCGAACCGGGGGAACUGAAACAUCUAAGUACCCCGAGGAAAAGAAAUCAACCGAGAUUCCCCCAGUAGCGGCGAGCGAACGGGGAGCAGCCCGGAGUCUGAAUCAGCUUGUGUGUUAGUGGAAGCGUCUGGAAAGUCGCAGGGUACAGGGUGAUACUCCCGUACACUAAAACACACAGGCUGUGAACUCGAAGAGUAGGGCGGGACACGUGGUAUCCUGUCUGAAUAUGGGGGGACCAUCCUCCAAGGCUAAAUACUCCUGACUGACCGAUAGUGAACCAGUACCGUGAGGGAAAGGCGAAAAGAACCCCGGCGAGGGGAGUGAAAAAGAACCUGAAACCGUGUACGUACAAGCAGUAGGAGCCCACUAGUUGGGUGACUGCGUACCUUUUGUAUAAUGGGUCAGCGACUUAUAUUCUGUAGCAAGGUUAACCGUAUAGGGGAGCCGCAGGGAAACCGAGUCUUAACUGGGCGUUAAGUUGCAGGGUAUAGACCCGAAACCCGGUGAUCUAGCCAUGGGCAGGUUGAAGGUUGGGUAACACUAACUGGAGGACCGAACCGACUAAUGUUGAAAAAUUAGCGGAUGACUUGUGGCUGGGGGUGAAAGGCCAAUCAAACCGGGAGAUAGCUGGUUCUCCCCGAAAGCUAUUUAGGUAGCGCCUCGUGAAUUCAUCUUCGGGGGUAGAGCACUGUUUCGGCUAGGGGGUCAUCCCGACUUACCAACCCGAUGCAAACUACGAAUACCGAAGAAUGUUAUCACGGGAGACACACGGCGGGUGCUAACGUCCGUCGUGAAGAGGGAAACAACCCAGACCGCCAGCUAAGGUCCCAAAGUCAUGGUUAAGUGGGAAACGAUGUGGGAAGGCCCAGACAGCCAGGAUGUUGGCUUAGAAGCAGCCAUCAUUUAAAGAAAGCGUAAUAGCUCACUGGUCGAGUCGGCCUGCGCGGAAGAUGUAACGGGGCUAAACCAUGCACCGAAGCUGCGGCAGCGACACUAUGUGUUGUUGGGUAGGGGAGCGUUCUGUAAGCCGUUGAAGGUGGCCUGUGAGGGUUGCUGGAGGUAUCAGAAGUGCGAAUGCUGACAUAAGUAACGAUAAUGCGGGUGAAAAACCCGCACGCCGGAAGACCAAGGGUUCCUGUCCAACGUUAAUCGGGGCAGGGUGAGUCGACCCCUAAGGCGAGGCCGAAAGGCGUAGUCGAUGGGAAACAGGUUAAUAUUCCUGUACUUGGUGUUACUGCGAAGGGGGGACGGAGAAGGCUAUGUUGGCCGGGCGACGGUUGUCCCGGUUUAAGCAUGUAGGCGGAUGUUCCAGGUAAAUCCGGAACGUUAUUAACGCUGAGGUGUGAUGACGAGGCACUACGGUGCUGAAGUGACAAAUGCCCUGCUUCCAGGAAAAGCCUCUAAGCAUCAGGUAACAUCAAAUCGUACCCCAAACCGACACAGGUGGUCAGGUAGAGAAUACCAAGGCGCUUGAGAGAACUCGGGUGAAGGAACUAGGCAAAAUGGUGCCGUAACUUCGGGAGAAGGCACGCUGAUGGUAGGUGAAGUGACUUGCUCAUGGAGCUGAAAUCAGUCGAAGAUACCAGCUGGCUGCAACUGUUUAUUAAAAACACAGCACUGUGCAAACACGAAAGUGGACGUAUACGGUGUGACGCCUGCCCGGUGCCGGAAGGUUAAUUGAUGGGGUUAUCCUCACGGAGAAGCUCUUGAUCGAAGCCCCGGUAAACGGCGGCCGUAACUAUAACGGUCCUAAGGUAGCGAAAUUCCUUGUCGGGUAAGUUCCGACCUGCACGAAUGGCGUAAUGAUGGCCAGGCUGUCUCCACCCGAGACUCAGUGAAAUUGAACUCGCUGUGAAGAUGCAGUGUACCCGCGGCAAGACGGAAAGACCCCGUGAACCUUUACUAUAGCUUGACACUGAACACUGGUCCUUGAUGUGUAGGAUAGGUGGGAGGCUUUGAAGUGUGGACGCCAGUCUGCAUGGAGCCGUCCUUGAAAUACCACCCUUUAAUGGCUGGUGUUCUAACGUGGGCCCCUAAUCGGGGUUGCGGACAGUGUCUGGUGGGUAGUUUGACUGGGGCGGUCUCCUCCUAAAGAGUAACGGAGGAGCACGAAGGUCAGCUAAUCCUGGUCGGACAUCAGGAGGUUAGUGCAAUGGCAUAAGCUGGCUUGACUGCGAGCGUGACGGCGCGAGCAGGUGCGAAAGCAGGUCAUAGUGAUCCGGUGGUUCUGAAUGGAAGGGCCAUCGCUCAACGGAUAAAAGGUACUCCGGGGAUAACAGGCUGAUACCGCCCAAGAGUUCAUAUCGACGGCGGUGUUUGGCACCUCGAUGUCGGCUCAUCACAUCCUGGGGCUGAAGUAGGUCCCAAGGGUAUGGCUGUUCGCCAUUUAAAGUGGUACGCGAGCUGGGUUUAGAACGUCGUGAGACAGUUCGGUCCCUAUCUGCCGUGGGCGCUGGAGAAUUGAGGGGGGCUGCUCCUAGUACGAGAGGACCGGAGUGGACGCAUCACUGGUGUUCGGGUUGUCAUGCCAAUGGCAUUGCCCGGUAGCUAAAUGCGGAAGAGAUAAGUGCUGAAAGCAUCUAAGCACGAAACUUGCCCCGAGAUGAGUUCUCCCUGACUCCUUGAGAGUCCUGAAGGAACGUUGAAGACGACGACGUUGAUAGGCCGGGUGUGUAAGCGCAGCGAUGCGUUGAGCUAACCGGUACUAAUGAACCGUGAGGCUUAACCUUACAACGCCGAAG